rnacentral:rRNA from 1 species
AGCGAACGCUGGCGGCAUGCUUAACACAUGCAAGUCGCGCGGGUGGUUUCGGCCAUCAGCGGCGGACGGGUGAGUAUCGCGUAGGAAUGUAUCCCGAGGUGGGGGACAACCCUGGGAAACUGGGGCUAAUACCGCAUGGGGCCUGUGGGUCAAAGCCUUAGGGCGCCUUGGGAGCAGCCUGCGUCCGAUUAGGUAGUUGGUGGGGUAAAGGCCUACCAAGCCUGCGAUCGGUAGCUGGUCUGAGAGGACGAUCAGCCACACUGGGACUGAGGCACGGCCCAGACUCCUACGGGAGGCAGCAGUGGGGAAUAUUGGACAAUGGGCGCAAGCCUGAUCCAGCAAUGCCGCGUGGGUGAAGAAGGUCUUCGGAUUGUAAAGCCCUUUCGGCGGGGACGAUGAUGACGGUACCCGCAGAAGAAGCCCCGGCUAACUUCGUG